UCAUUUGCAGACCUGCCGCCCUUCCAAAUCCAAGUGACUGCAGGAGAGAGGGAGCUCUAGAAGGUCUUUGCCAAGCCUUGCUGUGACCUUAGGUGCUGCCUCAGUGGACACAGCUCCGGAAAGGGGUGAGCCAUGUGCAGUACCAUCUGGGCCCACGCUGGCGAGGUGACCCUCCCUCCGGCACUCCGGCUGUGGACACCUGUGCCUCUCUGUGCCUCCAGAGCCUCAGCCCCUGCUCCAGUCUCAGAUCUUACCCGAGCACUGCUCAGAACACUUCCUCCACCUCUCCUCUCUGUGGACAAUGGUGACAAGCAGCUGCCUGGCCACCCCUGCUGGUCUGCAUGGAACCUUGUGGCCAACAGCCCCAGACUCCUGCUGCCUUCCCCUCACAUCCAACCCAUGAUGGACAUGAUGUGCUCUGGACCAGACCACCAGCCUGGCUACUGGCAGAAUCCCCUGUUAAAAAUUCCCCUUGUGCUGUCUCAUCCCUCUGGCACAGUCAGGAGGUGAAUCUCUGUAGCAGGGCAGUGGAGACGUCUGUGGACCCUGUCUCACUCCUGCAGCCACACAGCACAUUGCAGGCAUCACCAUCUCGUCUCCUGCCACCAGAGGCUCUUCCAACUCUCCCUAGGAAAUAGGGAGGGGGAAGUUUGCUUUAAGGUGCCUUUGAUUUCACUGAGUUUGAGAUGACACAUUCAGCCAGCAGGAAUAAAUAAUAUUCUAAUAAUCAGUAUUAAGAAUUACUCUAAUUCUAUUGGGAUAAUCUGCUCAAUAUUUGAACACUCUUCCUACUUUCUUGGGAAACACAAAACAUAAAACCAAACCGGGUUGGGAGGGGUUGUUUGUUUUUGUGAGGCUUCUGGCACUUGUUUUUAUAGCUUGCUCAGCAGGGCUGCCAGACCUUUCCCUUUGCAUUCUGAUACUUCUUUGUGAUCUGGAUACAAACAGUAAUUGCCAAAGCAUUUGAUUUUUUUUUAAAAAAACUUGUUACUGAACUUUUUUUUUUUUUUUAAUUUUUAUUUUUAUUUUUAUUUAGAACUGUUAAUAGUGUUUGGGCUCAAAUUUGAAAGCUGGCUGGAAAAUCCCAUGCUGGAGUGAUAGCAUUCCUAUUUUUUGGCACCAGAUACUCGUUCCUCUUGCUUUCAACUAUUUCAGUCAGGAAAAUAAAAUGUUUUUGCUGAUUUUGAUAAUCAGCCUAUUCGUGCACACUUUUUUGUCAGUGAUAUUGCUGAGAGUAAUCUUGCUACUCUUUCAAAUAUCACGAGAGGAUGUCACAGUUAAUGCCCUUGCAUUAAAUGGGGAAGUCUGUCCACAAGCUGUGGAGGUAUUCCCAUAUUGGUUUGCACUUAUUUAUUUAUUUAUUUUAAUUUUUUCUUGCUGCAGUCCUGACGGUUAACUCUAGGAAAAUGAGCUAUGCUACAAUACAGGCUAAUUGCUAUGUUUAAACACUCAUUUUAGAGAAAUCAUCAAGAACCUUGUUAUGAUUUCUUGUUUUUAUCCUGGGCAGAGACAGGCUGAGGUAUGACCUGCAUUUUCAAUGAAUGGAUGAAGUGAAGUAAGUGGACAAGAAUCACUUGGUGUUGGGUCUUAAAAUGGACUUCAACUAAUGGAAAGCGAUUUGGAAGGUACUGCAUUUUUCAGAAGCAGCGUGCGCCUAGAUUGAAGGAGCAAGAUUUCCAAGCCGUGUCAGAUGCUGUUUGGGAACAGAAUUUUGCCUGUCUCUGCUCUGCCUCCCAUAUGUCGGCUGCUCAUGUUGUAGCAACACUAAUGAACACUAAUGGACCUUAAUGAUAAGGAAGUUCUGCUCAAACCAAAGGUAUACAAGGGGCAGCACCACUUCUCUCCACAGCGGGACAACGAUCAGAAUUGAUGUGCAAAUAGCCACUGGCAGAUGCUUGUUAAAGAUCAAAGACUUUUCCUUUAUUUA